rnacentral:rRNA from 1 species
CCGUGUUGUAGCUAACGCGUUAAGCACUCCGCCUGGGGACUACGGUCGCAAGACUAAAACUCAAAGGAAUUGACGGGGACCCGCACAAGCGGUGGAGCAUGUGGUUUAAUUCGAUGCAACGCGAAAAACCUUACCACUCCUUGACAUGGAGAUUAGAUCCUUCUUAACGGAAGGGCGCAGUUCGGCUGGAUCUCGCACAGGUGCUGCAUGGCUGUCGUCAGCUCGUGUCGUGAGAUGUUGGGUUAAGUCCCGCAACGAGCGUAACCCUCAUCCUUAGUUGCCAGCGGGUAAUGCCGGGCACUUUAAGGAAACUGCCGGUGGUAAACUGGAGGAAGGUGGGGAUGAUGUCAAGUCAGCACGGCCCUUAUGGGGUGGGCUACACACGUGCUACAAUGGUGACUACAAUAGGUUGCAAUGUCGCAAGGCUGAGCUAAUCCGUAAAAGUCAUCUCAGUUCGGAUUGUCCUCUGCAACUCGAGGGCAUGAAGUCGGAAUCGCUAGUAAUCGUGGAUCAGCAUGCCACGGUGAAUACGUUCUCGGGUCUUGUACACACUGCCCGUCACGCCAUGGGAAUUGGCUUAACUCGAAGCUGGUGCGCUAACCGAAAGGAAGCAGC